GACCUGAUGGUCUAGGGGUAUGAUUCUCGCUUUGGGUGCGAGAGGUCCGGGUUCAAAUCCCGGUCAGGCCCUCG
rnacentral:tRNA from 1 species